rnacentral:rRNA from 1 species
CAUGAAGUCGGAAUUGCUAGUAAUCGCAGAUCAGCAUGCUGCGGUGAAUACGUUCCCGGGCCUUGUACACACCGCCCGUCACACCAUGGGAGUCGGUAACACCCGAAGUCGGUAGUCUAACCGAAAGGAGGACGCCGCCGAAGGUGGGAUUGAUGACUGGGGUGAAGUCGUAACAAGGUAAC